CCAUCUGGAAGAAGUCUGGAGACAGGUGCUGCAUGGCUGUCGUCAGCUCGUGUCGUGAGAUGUUGGGUUAAGUCCCGCAACGAGCGCAACCCUUGCCUUUAGUUGCCAGCAGUUCGGCUGGGCACUCUAAAGGGACUGCCGGUGUUAAACCGGAGGAAGGUGGGGAUGACGUCAAGUCCUCAUGGCCUUUAUGACCAGGGCUACACACGUACUACAAUGGCCGAUACAAAGGGCAGCGACACUGCGAGGUGAAGCCAAUCCCGUAAAAUCGGUCUCAGUCCGGAUUGGAGUCUGCAACUCGACUCCAUGAAGUUGGAAUCGCUAGUAAUCGUGGAUCAGCAUGCCACGGUGAAUACGUUCCCGGGCCUU
rnacentral:rRNA from 1 species